ACAGCUUCUUUAAUUGAAAGAAGAGUUUUCUCAAAAGCUAUAAGCAGCUAGGCCAUCCACUUGAAGGAGGGAAGAAUGUGGACAUAGUGUGCUAUGGCUACUGGCUUUCCUGGGUUUCCUUGGUCACAGUGUUGCAAACACAGGUUUUCACCUUGAUAUUGUUUGACCUUGUGCAAGAAAAUCUUCUCUGCGUUUCAGCCUUCUAAGUGAAGCAAUCGUCGUACUCUCUCCCUGGUGGGAGCUGCUGAUGGAUGAAUGAGAAUAAAAUAGAACAAA
rnacentral:lncRNA from 1 species